UUGCUUGCUUUUUGCCCUUUCAAUAUUUAUAUGGUAUGUACUCUACCACAGCAACAUAAAACCUCAGUGGUUUUGAAUUAUGUUAAAACAGCAUAAGUUAACCAUAGUGCAUAGUGAUUAACAGUCUAUAUAAAUUUUCUGCACAUGUAUUUUUCAUGAAAAAAAAUGGAUAACCAGAAAGUACACUGAGAAAGUCCAGUUCUCAUGUUGAAUUGGAUGCCCAAGUUAUGACUACUGAGUUGACAGGUGUUCUAGAAUAACUUUAGAUUAACAAAAACCAUUAGUUUGAAAAGUAAUUCAACUAGCCCUUUUGUGUUUCACCCGAACUGAACCGUGUUAGUGUUUUAGGCGAGUAGUGUAACAGAGGCUUAAGUAAACUCCUUUCCCCUAAAAUUAUUGGGGCUGUGUUUACUACUCUGGAGACAGUAGGAUCUCAGAGAAUGGAGUUGACAAAUGAGGCAAACCAAAGGACUCACACAAUAGCCAACUUUAUUCAGUGCAUCAGACAGCUUAUACUCUGAGAGUUGGAAAAUGUCACCUAAGUAAAGUUCUCAUGGGUUCAAGCUGUAUUCAAUCACAAGGACAAGUCACACAUGGCAAAAAUAUUUUUUUUCCAUAGAAGCAUAUAAACAUUUAAUUGAAUAACACCAACAAGCAAUAGUGAGAAAUCUGAAGUAAACCCAUUCCUAUAUGCUACACCUUGGAAAACACAUUCUAAGAACAAUUUUUGUUGAAGACGCUGAGGUCACAAGACUCUUUUGUUGUUGUUGUUGUUGUUGUUGUUGUUGUUGUUUUGUUUUGUUUUUCUUGGAGUGUUCUCACAAGCAUCCAGGAUUCUCUUAACACAAUUGGAUUCCUGGUCCAUGUUCCUUGGUUUUAAAAUAUAACUUGAUAAGGAGACAAACACCAACUUGCUUGGGAUGUAGUGAAUAGAAGCGCAUUUCCUUACUGAACAUUGACCCUGAGGAGACUCUUAUGACUAACUUAAACUGUGCAGAGAUGACUACCGUAAAUGAGUCCACUAGCUGGAGAAAACUCCAGAAUUCAGAUCAGCUUAUAAAAGAAAUGUAAGGUUUUAAGAUAUUUUUAAAGAGGAACUUGCUUCCAACUCACAAUCUUCUUGCCUCAACCUCUUGAAUGCUGAAGUUUACAGAUGUGUGCCACCACCAUCUAAGUAACCAACAGCAAAAAGAAAAUGGGAGUUGUCGGGUACAUGCAGUACUCUUAGAGACCUGAAGAGGGCGGGUGAUCCCAGUGAUUUCCCCAGGAGUAAGAGAUGGUUGUGAGCUACUGUAAGAUUUCGGAGAUUUGAGCAUGGGUCCUGCGAAGAGCAGCCAGUGUUCUUAACCAUUGAGCCAUCUCUAACCCAUC
rnacentral:lncRNA from 1 species